GCUGGCGUCUGCGGCAGCUGUUUCCAAAUGUGGCCAGGCCUUCUCUUCCGGGAGAGUCUGGGCCUUCACUCCUCGAGGCCUGUGGUCUGCAGGUCUCCAGGACAGUAGGUCAGUUCUGCUGCAGACCGCCCUUAGGUCUGCAAAGGGGCAGCGCACGUGCUGGCAGCAGUUCGACCCUUAGGACCGGGUGCGGUGCGGCCACGGCCCUGUUUGCAGAGGCUUGACGGGCGGCAGGUACGAAGUUCAAAAAUAGUUAUGCAAAGCAGAAUUAAAAGUAACGCGACGAAUCCUGUUUGCAGGGUGAUUCUAAAGGAGGGGCCCAGACCGGAAGGCGGGCAGCUGAAUAGAUCAAGACCACGAAACGUCGGGGAGAUCGGUUGUUCCCUGACCGUGCAUUUCCACUUCUCCAGAGGCAUUUAUCCUGCAGCGGAUGGAACUCGCUAUCGCACAAACACCUUGCUCAUCGAGCAGAUCCUAAUCGAGGCUAUGUGGCCGUCCAAAAGUACUUUGGCCGCUGGGCUGCCGCUGCUGCGGCCGUGGAGCUGGCCGGUUCUCCCAAUGUCAGGGAGAGAUUUCUGACCGCGUGUUCAUCAGCACUGUUCCAGCCACGGAAGAAAGACACUCCCGCUGGAGGCCAACACUGAAUCAGGACCUGUACCCCGGCCCUACACACGACUUCUCGUACAGGUAACGUAUACCCUCGUGAAGGUCAGGGAGGUAGUGACCUCCUUGGAGUCUUCCAGCACAACAGGUAACACUCAAGGAGGGACCGGGCAGGUGUCAGGAACGUUCUCCCAAGACCACCGACGCACCCGGAGCCCUGGCUCCAGGGCACCAGUGACUUAUGGAGUAUGCCUAGAUGCUCAUCUUUGUUCCUGGGUUACUGAGAAGACAUGUGCCCCAGGCCCCAAGCAAAGGUGAGACUCCCUCUCCUCUCCUUUCUGAGUCCCCCAGACUCUUUUGUGUCUUUAAUAAACUGUGCUCUCACUUC